rnacentral:ncRNA from 1 species
CGCUGUCGCUCAACGGAUAAAAGGUACCUCGGGGAUAACAGGCUGAUCUUGCCCAAGAGUCCAUAUCGACGGCAUGGUUUGGCACCUCGAUGUCGGCUCGUCGCAUCCUGGGGCUGGAGUAGGUCCCAAGGGUUGGGCUGUUCGCCCAUUAAAGCGGUACGCGAGCUGGGUUUAGAACGUCGUGAGACAGUUCGGUCCCUAUCCGCUGCGCGCGUAGGAAGUUUGAGAGGAUCUGACCCUAGUACGAGAGGACCGGGUUGGACGAACCUCUGGUGUGUCAGUUGUUCCGCCAGGAGCACCGCUGAUUAGCUACGUUCGGGAUGGAUAACCGCUGAAAGCAUCUAAGCGGGAAGCCGGCCUCAAGAUGAGACUUCCAUACUCGGGGUGAGAGGCUCCCAGCCAGACUACUGGGUUGAUAGGCCGGAUGUGGAAGCGUAGUAAUACGUGAAGCUGACCGGUACUAAUAAGCCGAUGACUUGAUAAC